rnacentral:lncRNA from 10 species
UCUCAAACUCCCGACCUUAGAUGAUCUGCCCGUCUCGGCCUCCCAAAGUGCUGGGAUUACAGGCAUGAGCCACCGUGCCCGGCCUUUUUUUUCUAUUUUUGAGACAGAGCCUUGCUCUGCCACCCAGGCUAGAGAGCAGUGACGCAAUUUCGGCUCACUGCAACCUCUUGCUUCCUGGGUUCAAGUGAUUCUCCUGCCUCAGCCUCCCAAGUAGCUGGGAUUACAGGCGUGUGCCACCGUGACCAGCUAAUUUUUAUAUUUUUAGUAGAGACGGAGUUUCGCCAUGCUGGCCAGGCUGAUCUCGAACUCCUGACCUCAGGUGAUUGGCCCGCCUUGGCCUCCCAAAGUGCUGGGAGUACAGGCGCAUGCCACCAAGCCCAGCUAAUUUUUGUAUUUGUUUUAGUAGAGAAGGGGUUUCACCACAUUGGCAGGAUGGUCUUGAUCUCUUGACCUCGUGAUCCUCCCGCCUCACCCUCCCAAAGUGCUGGGAUUACAGGCGCGAGCCACCACACCUGGCCAGAAUUUUUAAAGCUUGCAAUGAAAAGGAACAGAUUGUGGAAAGGGCUUGGCCUGAUAAACAGGUGGACUAAUAAUUGGAAGGUCAACUGAGUCGGACUUAUUUUUGCCAGUUGUUCC